rnacentral:rRNA from 1 species
GGAGUCUAACGUGUGCGCGAGUCAUUGGGCGUCAAAACCCAAAGGCGCAAUGAAAGUAAAGGGAGCUCUGCUCUCCGAGGGACGACGGUCCGGCCCUUCGUGGCCGUGCCCGCAAUCCCGGGGCGUCUCCAGCUCAUUGCGAGCGGAGGCGCACCCAGAGCGUACGCGUUGGGACCCGAAAGAUGGUGAACUAUGCCUGGCCAGGACGAAGCCAGGGGAAACCCUGGUGGAGGUCCGUAGCGAUUCUGACGUGCAAAUCGAUCGUUAGAGCUGGGUAUAGCGGCGAAAGACCAAUCGAACCAUCUAGUAGCUGGUUCCCUCCGAAGUUUCCCUCAGGAUAGCUGGCGCUCAUGAUAUACGAGUCUCGUCUGGUAAAGCGAAUGAUUAGAGGCCUUGGGGUCGAAACGACCUCAACCUAUUCUCAAACUUUAAAUGGAUGAGAGACCUGGCUUGCUUAACUGUGAAGCCGGGGUUCGGAUCUGGAGUGCCAAGUGGGCCAUUUUUG